CCUACGGGUGGCAGCAGUCGGGAAUAUUGCGCAAUGGACGAAACUCUGACGCAGUGAAGCCGCGUGCAGGAAGAAGGUUUUAGGCUUGUAAACUGCCUUUGACAGGGAAGAAAAAUGCCAGUACCUGUAGAAUAAGCUCCGGCUAACUACGUGCGAGCCGCCGAGGUACUACGUAGGGACCAAGCGUUAUCCGGAUGUCUUGGGUGUAACGGGUGCGUAGGCGGGGAAGCGAUUUAGUUGGGAAAUCCCUGGGCUUAACCGAGGAACUGCAAUUGAAACUACGUCCCUUGAGUACUGGAGAGGAAAGUGGAAUGCGUAGUGUAGCGGUGAAAUGCGUAGAUAUUAGGAGGAACACC
rnacentral:rRNA from 1 species